rnacentral:tRNA from 1 species
ACUUGGAUAGCUUAUAUAAUAGAGCAUAACACUGAAGAUGUUAAGGAAUUAAUUUUAGUUUCAAGUG